rnacentral:rRNA from 1 species
GCUGCCAAGAAAAGCCGCUAUUGUUUCAUAAGUACCCGUACCGUAAACCGACACAGGUGGAUGAGGAGAGAAUCCUAAGGCCGGCGGGAGAAGUGUUGUUAAGGAACUCGGCAAAAUGACUCCGUAACUUCGGGAGAAGGAGUGCCACAGAGAUGUGGCCGCAGAGAAAUGGCCCAAGCAACUGUUUAGCAAAAACACAGGUCUAUGCAAAACCGAAAGGUGAGGUAUAUGGGCUGACGCCUGCCCGGUGCUGGAAGGUUAAGAGGAGAGGUUAGAGCAAUCGAAGCUUUGAAUUUAAGCCCCAGUAAACGGCGGCCGUAACUAUAACGAUCCUAAGGUAGCGAAAUUCCUUGUCGGGUAAGUUCCGACCCGCACGAAAGGCGUCAUGAUUCGGGCACUGUCUCAACAACACACCCGGUGAAAUUGAAAUACCAGUGAAGAUGCUGGUUACCUGCGCCAGGACGGAAAGACCCCAUGGAGCUUUACUCCAGUUUGAUACUGGGAUUCGGUACUGUCUGUACAGGAUAGGUGGGAGGCUAGGAAAUGGUGACGCCAGUUGCCAUGGAGCCAACCUUGGGAUACCACCCUUACAGUACUGGGUUUCUAACCUGCAGCCGUAACCCGGCUGGGGGACAAUGUCUGACGGGGAGUUUGACUGGGGCGGUCGCCUCCGAAAGAGUAUCGGAGGCGCUCAAAGGUUCCCUCAGAACGGUUGGAAACCGUUCGAAGAGUGCAAAGGCAGAAGGGAGCUUGACUGCGACACCGACGGGUGGAGCAGAUACGAAAGUAGGACUUAGUGAUCCGGUGGUAUAAAGUGGGAUUGCCAUCGCUCAACGGAUAAAAGCUACCCUGGGAUAACAGGCUUAUCACUCCCAAGAGUUCACAUCGACGGAGUGGUUUGGCACCUCGAUGUCGGCUCAUCGCAUCCUGGAGCUGUAGCAGGUUCCAAGGGUUGGGCUGUUCGCCCAUUAAAGCGGUACGCGAGCUGGGUUCAGAACGUCGUGAGACAGUUCGGUCCCUAUCCGGCGUGGGCGUAGGAUAUUUGAGAGGAGCUGUCCUUAGUACGAGAGGACCGGGAUGGACAAACCUCUGGUGUAUCUGUUGUUUUACCAAAGGCAUGGCAGAGUAGCCAAGUUUGGCAGGGAUAAACGCUGAAGGCAUCUAAGCGUGAAGCCCCCCUCAAGAUAAGAUAUCCCAUCUUCGGAGUAAGACCCCUUGAAGACUACAAGGUUGAUAGGCUUCAGGUGUAAGUGUGGUAACGCACUCAGCCGAGAAGUACUAAUAGGUCGAGGACUUAUCAA